GGGCCCGCACAAGCGGUGGAGCAUGUGGUUUAAUUCGAUGAUACGCGAGGAACCUUACCAGGGCUUAAAUGUAGUCUGACAGGGGUGGAAACACCCCCUCCUUCGGGCAGAUUACAAGGUGCUGCAUGGUUGUCGUCAGCUCGUGCCGUGAGGUGUCAGGUUAAGUCCUAUAACGAGCGCAACCCCUACCGUUAGUUGCCAGCGAGUCAUGUCGGGGACUCUAACGGGACUGCCGGUGCAAACCGUGAGGAAGGUGGGGACGACGUCAAAUCAUCACGGCCCUUACGUCUUGGGCUACACACGUGCUACAAUGGUAGUGACAAUGGGCAGCCACUCCGCGAGGAGGCGCAAAUCCACAAACACUAUCUCAGUUCGGAUUGUCGUCUGCAACUCGACGGCAUG
rnacentral:rRNA from 1 species